UACGUAGGGUGCGAGCGUUAAAUCGGAAUUACUGGGCGUAAAGCGUGCGCAGGCGGUUUUGUAAGCCAGAUGUGAAAUCCCCGGGCUUAACCUGGGAAUGGCAUUUGGGACUGCAAGGCUGGAGUUUGGCAGAAGGAGACUGGAAUUCCUGGUGAUAGCAGUGAAAUGCGUAGAUAUCAGGAGGAAUACCGAUGGCGAAGGCGGGUCGUCUUGGCU
rnacentral:rRNA from 1 species